rnacentral:rRNA from 1 species
GACGAACGCUGGCGGCGUGCUUAACACAUGCAAGUCGAACGGAAAGGCCCUGCUUUUGUGGGGUGCUCGAGUGGCGAACGGGUGAGUAACACGUGAGUAACCUGCCCUUGACUUUGGGAUAACUUCAGGAAACUGGGGCUACUACCGGAUAGGAGCUCCUGCUGCAUGGUGGGGGUUGGAAAGUUUCGGCGGUCGGGGAUGGACUCGCGGCUUAUCAGCUUGUUGGUGGGGUAGUGGCUUACCAAGGCUUUGACGGGUAGCCGGCCUGAGAGGGUGACCGGCCACAUUGGGACUGAGAGACGGCCCAGACUCCUACGGGAGGCAGCAGUGGGGAAUAUUGCACAAUGGGCGGAAGCCUGAGGCAGCAACGCCGCGUGCGGGAUGACGGCCUUCGGGGUGUAAACCGCUUUCGCCUGUGACGAAGCGUGAGUGACGGUAAUGGGUAAAGAAGCACCGGCUAACUACGUG